rnacentral:rRNA from 1 species
UACGUAGGGGGCAAGCGUUGUCCGGAAUCAUUGGGCGUAAAGCGCGUGUAGGCGGCUCGAUAAGUCUGCUGUGAAAGUCCAGGGCUCAACCCUGGGAUGCCGGUGGAUACUGUCGAGCUCGAGUCCGGAAGAGGCGAGUGGAAUUCCUGGUGUAGCGGUGAAAUGCGCAGAUAUCAGGAGGAACACCAAUGGCGAAGGCAGCUCGCUGGGACGUGACUGACGCUGAGACGCGAAAGCGUGGGGGAGCAAACAGG